rnacentral:rRNA from 1 species
UCCGUAGGUGGAUAAUUAAGUCAGAGGUGAAAUCCUGCAGCUCAACUGUAGAAUUGCCUUUGAUACUGGUUAUCUUGAAUUAUUGUGAAGUAGUUAGAAUAUGUAGUGUAGCGGUGAAGUGCAUAGAUAUUACAUAGAAUACCAAUUGCGAAGGCAGAUUACUAACAAUAUAUUGACACUGAUGGACGAAAGCGUGGGGAGCGAACAGGAUUAGAUACCCUGGUAGUCC